AACGAACGCUGGCGGCAUGCCUAACACAUGCAAGUCGAACGAGACCUUCGGGUCUAGUGGCGCACGGGUGCGUAACGCGUGGGAACCUGCCCUUAGGUUCGGAAUAACUCCCCGAAAGGGGUGCUAAUACCGGAUAAUGCCUUCGGACCAAAGAUUUAUCGCCUUUGGAUGGGCCCGCGUUGGAUUAGCUAGUUGGUAGGGUAAAAGCCUACCAAGGCGACGAUCCAUAGCUGGUCUGAGAGGAUGAUCAGCCACACUGGGACUGAGACACGGCCCAGACUCCUACGGGAGGCAGCAGUGGGGAAUAUUGGACAAUGGGCGAAAGCCUGAUCCAGCAAUGCCGCGUGAGUGAUGAAGGCCUUAGGGUUGUAAAGCUCUUUUACCCGGGAUGAUAAUGACAGUACCGGGAGAAUAAGCUCCGUCUAACUCCGUG
rnacentral:rRNA from 1 species